rnacentral:rRNA from 1 species
GGGUCAGCAGGGUGGUCGUGCCACCGGUACGUACUGGUCUCACUGAUUCCUCCUUCCUGAAGAACCGUAAUGCCAUUAAUUUGGUGUUGCGGGGAAACAGGACUGGUACUUUGAAAAAAUUAGAGUGUUUAAAGCAAGCUAACGCUUGAAUACAUUAGCAUGGAAUAAUGAAAUAGGACGAUCGAUCCUAUUUUGUUGGUUUCUAGGAUUGACGUA